CAGUAGCCGCGGGAAUACGUAGGGCGCAAGCGUUAUCCGGAAUUAUUGGGCGUAAAGAGCUCGUAGGCGGUUUGUCGCGUCUGCCGUGAAAGUCCGGGGCUCAACCCCGGAUCUGCGGUGGGUACGGGCAGACUAGAGUGAUGUAGGGGAGACUGGAAUUCCUGGUGUAGCGGUGAAAUGCGCAGAUAUCAGGAGGAACACCGAUGGCGAAGGCAGGUCUCUGGGCAUUAACUGACGCUGAGGAGCGAAAGCAUGGGGAGCGAACAGGAUUAGAUACCCCUGUAGUUCCUGUCUCUUAUAC
rnacentral:rRNA from 1 species